rnacentral:lncRNA from 1 species
CUUCAUUGCUGAGAGCACCCAAUUUGGCCAGGGGGAAACCACAAGGACUGAAGUUGUGGAGAUGGCCAAGCUAGUUGGCAUGCACAAGUUCAUCGUUAUUGUUCCUAAGACAUUCACCCUGGUUGGGCAAGAUAUGCCAGACGCUGCUUUGUUCUGGUCCAUGAUGUUCCUGGUCCUGGCAGCUGCUAGUGGUCUGGGGCACUUCUUCAGGACGGUGGGUUUAGGCAUUGCUGGUGAGAACCUGACAUUCCACCUACGGGUCGCUGUGUUGGC